rnacentral:misc_RNA from 1 species
UGCUCUCUCUCACCAUGGUUCUUCGCUUCCUCUUCAUCGCUAUGGUUGUCAAGACCUUGGGCUUUUCAGUACUUCAUCUUCUCUGUCGAUGAAUGUGUUUAGGGGGCUUCAAUAUAGUUCCUCUCUACGUCAACAAGCAAAUUUAGGAAAUGCUGCUCAACAUUAUUGCUUCUCAUCCAUCGUCAGAAAACGUGUUGGGGUCUCUUGGUGUUAUCUUACUCCAAACGAGAAUCUAUACCACCCUUGGCACAACAACCUGUUUAGUGGAAAAAGAAACCCUCGG